AACGAACGCUGGCGGCGUGCCUAACACAUGCAAGUCGAACGUGAUUGAAGAGCUUGCUCUUCAUGAAAGUGGCGCACGGGUGAGUAACGCGUAGAUAAUCUACCUGAUGAUUCGGGAUAACACUUCGAAAGGGGUGCUAAUACGGGAUAAGCCCACGGAGUCUUUGGACACUGCGGGAAAAGGAGGGGACCUUCGGGCCUUCCGUCAUCAGAUGAGUCUGCGUACCAUUAGCUAGUUGGUAGGGUAAAGGCCUACCAAGGCGACGAUGGUUAGCUGGUCUGAGAGGAUGAUCAGCCACACUGGAACUGAGACACGGUCCAGACUCCUACGGGAGGCAGCAGUGGGGAAUUUUGCGCAAUGGGGGAAACCCUGACGCAGCAACGCCGCGUGAGUGAUGAAGGCCCUUGGGUCGUAAGCUCUGACAGAGGGAAAGAAAUGUGGGUGGCUAAUAUCCAUUCCACUUGACGGUACCCUCAAAGGAAGCACCGGCUAACUCCGUGCCAGCCGCCGCCGUAAAAC
rnacentral:rRNA from 1 species